CCCUGCUUCCAGGAAAAGCCUCUAAGCAUCAGGUAACAUCAAAUCGUACCCCAAACCGACACAGGUGGUCAGGUAGAGAAUACCAAGGCGCUUGAGAGAACUCGGGUGAAGGAACUAGGCAAAAUGGUGCCGUAACUUCGGGAGAAGGCACGCUGAUAUGUAGGUGAAGUCCCUCGCGGAUGGAGCUGAAAUCAGUCGAAGAUACCAGCUGGCUGCAACUGUUUAUUAAAAACACAGCACUGUGCAAACACGAAAGUGGACGUAUACGGUGUGACGCCUGCCCGGUGCCGGAAGGUUAAUUGAUGGGGUUAGCGGUAACGCGAAGCUCUUGAUCGAAGCCCCGGUAAAC
rnacentral:rRNA from 1 species